rnacentral:rRNA from 1 species
GACGAACGCUGGCGGCGUGCCUAAUACAUGCAAGUCGAACGCAGUGGGGACAGGUGAGUAACACGUGGCUAACCUCCCAUCAGAGGUGAUAACACUUGGUAACAGGUGCUAAACUUAUACUGACGGAUGGUCGGGCGGUUCAGUAGCUAGUUGGUGAGGUAACGGCUCACCAAGGCCACGAUGUAUAGGCGACCGGAGGGUAUGAUCGGCCACACUGCGACUGAGACACGGCGCAGACUCCGACGGGAGGCAGCAGCAGGGAAUCUUCGGCAAGGGGCGAAAGUCUGACCGAGCAACGCCGCGUGAGUGAAGAAGGUUUUCGGAUCGUAAAACUCUGUUGUUAGAGAAGCGGUAUCUAACCAGAAAGCCACGGCUAACUACGUGCCAGCAGCCGCGGUAAUUC